rnacentral:misc_RNA from 1 species
GGGUGAGGCCCAGCGGCGUGC